GACGGAGGGGGCUAGCGUUGUUCGGAAUUACUGGGCGUAAAGAGCGUGUAGGUGGUUUAAUAAGUUGGAAGUGAAAGCCCGGGGCUUAACCUCGGAAUUGCUUUCAAAACUGUUAGACUAGAGUGUAGUAGGGGAUGAUGGAAUUCCUAGUGUAGAGGUGAAAUUCUUAGAUAUUAGGAGGAACACCGGUGGCGAAAGCGAUCAUCUGGGCUGCAACUGACACUGAGACGCGAAAGCGUGGGGAGCAAACAGG
rnacentral:rRNA from 1 species